rnacentral:rRNA from 1 species
AGAGUUUGAUCAUGGCUCAGGAUGAACGCUGGCGGCGUGCCUAAUACAUGCAAGUCGAACGAGGUGCUUUUGUAGCAAUACGAGAGUAUCCUAGUGGCGAACGGGUGAGUAACGCGUUGGUGACCUGCCCCAAAGUGUGGGAUAACAGUCCGAAAGGAUUGCUAAUACCGCAUGUGGUCAUUAGAUUUAGAAACUGAUGACUAAAGCAGUAAUGCGCUUUGGGAGGGACCUGCGUCCCAUCAGCUAGUUGGUGAGGUAAUGGCUCACCAAGGCGACGACGGGUAGGGGACCUGAGAGGGUGACCCCCCACAAUGGAACUGAAACACGGUCCAUACACCUACGGGUGGCAGCAGUAGGGAAUAUUGCUCAAUGGGCGAAAGCCUGAAGCAGCAACGCCGCGUGCGCGAUGAAGGUCUUCGGAUCGUAAAGCGCUUUUCUGCGAGAUGAGAAAGGACAGUAUCGUAGGAAUAAGUCUCGGCUAACUACGUGCCAGCCGCCGCGGUAAUUC